rnacentral:rRNA from 1 species
UUGUUAUAAAAUAGAGUAAAACGUUAGAACGCGUAGUACGUACCGUCGACGACUGCAAUUAAUUGCUUUAACGAGAAAGUUAAUACAAAAUAACUUUCUUUACUAUAGCGACCUCAGAGCAGGUGAGACUACCCGCUGAAUUUAAGCAUAUUACUAAGCGGAGGAAAAGAAACUAACCAGGAUUCCCUCAGUAACGGCGAGUGAACAGGGAAGAGCCCAGCGCCGAAUCCCCGCCGCGCGUCGCGGCGUGGGAAAUGUGGCGUACGGAAGACCCACUCCCCG